AUGGACAUGAGAAAUCUACAACCACACACAAUGCACAAUACAACUACACGAAACAAUAAGGAUGAAUCUCACAAACAGAAUGUUGAAGGCGGCGUCUCCCCAUCUUCCUGGCACACCCCUCCAUGCCCUCCAUCACCACUGAGACCUACGGGAGGGACACCUGUUAUCGAGGAUGCCACCAGAUUAUGUGCAGGACCGACACACACCCACGCUCACCCUUGCUCACACAUGCUGCAGUUGUAUGCCUGGAAAAAGACAAAGAAGGCAAAACGGUGCUGCUGGCUAAGAUGAGGCUUCACUUCCUCAGAUUCUGCAGGUUUGUGUAAUGAACUGGAAAUCAACACACUCCAAAUAUCAAGGAACCAUUAGAACCUUGUUUAAACUGGGGGACACUCAUUUGUGUCAAGGAAAUCCAGAGGACAGGAGAGCCUGGCAACGAAUUCAUUCAUCCAUCCAUUGACCCAUUCAUUCAUCCAUCCUUUGACCCAUUCAUUCAUUCAUCCAUUUACCCAUCAUGCAUUCAUUCAACUGACAAGUCCCAGAUAGUGUGGUGUUUGGAGAUGGUAAAAGACAUUUUCUGCCUCCAUCCUCCACCCUCCGCCUUUCACAUGCAAUCCAAGGAAUGAAGUAGAUAUACCUAGAAAUAAUUUUAACCAUAUGAGAAAUUCUAGUGUCAAGAGACAAUCCAAAUAAUAAUAUCUGUGCCUGAUAACAGGCACAGAAGAAGAAGCACAUCGCUGCCUGUAGACCACCAGGAAGCCUUUUGAAGAGGGUGGUAUCUGAUUUGAGUCUUAAGGAGGAAAGAGGCGUUUGUCAAUUUGGGUCUAAAUUAACUUGACUGUCUUUUGUCCCUUUUUCUCUGAUUGGCACACCAGUUGUCAAGAGCAAGAGCUGUGUGUCCAGUUUCUUUAUAUACCAAGCGUCUGGCUCAGUGCCUGGUUCACAGUAACCACCUGCCAUAUUUUAGUUGAAUAAAGGAACAAAUCUAUAAACGACUAGUACUGGG
rnacentral:lncRNA from 1 species